rnacentral:rRNA from 1 species
GUGUCAGCAGCCGCGGUAAUACGGAGGAUCCAAGCGUUAUCCGGAUUUAUUGGGUUUAAAGGGUGCGUAGGCGGACCUUUAAGUCAGCGGUGAAAGUUCCCGGCUCAACCGGGGAAUUGCCGUUGAAACUAUUGGUCUUGAGUGUAGAUGAGGUGGGCGGAAUUCGUAGUGUAGCGGUGAAAUGCUUAGAUAUUACGAAGAACUCCAAUUGCGUAGGCAGCUCACUAGGCUACAACUGACGCUGAGGCACGAAGGUGCGGGGAUCAAACAGGAUUAGAUACCCGCGUAGUCC